CUCCUUCAUUUGGGAGGGGAGCUGGGAGGGUGGAAGCAGUGGUGGAGGUGUGUGCUGGGUGAAGAGCACCUGGUCCGAAGCAGCUGGACAGCAGACGAGGGAAAGGACGACGGGCUCGCCCUGCUCCUUGGUUCAGGAGGUCUGGUCAAGAACAGUGGGGCUCCUGCCCCGGGGCGAGUGGCCCCUGCUUCUGGAGAACCAGAACCUUUGAAAUGUCUAUCAGAACCUCGUGAGAAGACAGCGAUCGACUUGGAGCAGAAAUUUGAAGAACUAAAGCUGUGGUUGUUCCUGAGAGUUGAUGCCAAGACAACAGAUCCUGUAGGGGCCAAAGAAGUAAUAGAACAGUGCCCUCAGCAGAUGUCCAGCUUCCUGUGAUGUGCCUGACAAUUGGUUUUAAAUACAGCUGUAAUGAGCAAACGCGGCAUGUUACGGGUGG
rnacentral:lncRNA from 1 species